AUUCAUAUCAGUGAACCGGAUUACUCCAGAAGAACCUACGGCUGUCACCUACUAUAGAAGAACCUACGGCUGUCAUCAAGCACAGCUCCCUGGAUACCAGCCUGUAACACUUGCAUAUUGUUUGUAAUAAAUAUCAUCAAUAUGGAACUGAAGUUUUGCCCAAAGUCAAUGUCAUGGUGAGAUUUUGAACCACAUUUGGGAGACUCUGUUGAAAAAUUGAAAGCUUAGUUAAUAUACAAAGUGGAGUUGUUUGCUACCUUUUUGGCAGCAAGAAUUGUCUGACAGUGAGAAAAACAUUUAAAUCAUCAUGCAUGUUUGCUCAUAACUAUCGCACUUUGAAACUGAACAUUGUCUGUACACCAUUGUUACACUGAGGGGUUGAAUUUCCAAAAUGUUUCUUUUAUUAACUUGGUUUUCAAUAAAUAAUGGUAACUAUGGAUAUAAAAAGCUUUGGGAUGCUCUGAGUCUGCCAAGUAGGAUGUCCAAUGAAAUGACUGAAAAGAGAAAAUGAUCCUGGUUCGCUGACAACUGAAUAAACAUAAUCUAAUUUAAAUGGAUCUAAGUGAUGAGCAUAACAUUCACUAGCUUUUGACCUGUAACAGACCUGGCCUUAUGUUAAAGAGUCUCUUGUUUUGCCAAUUUGAUGGGUACAGGCAGAAAUAAAUAUGUUGGAUAUGGAUGUAUAAACAUAUUUAAAAACCUAUUAAAUGUGUACAUUAAUUAGUCCUGUGCAAUUAGUA